UACGUAGGUGGCAAGCGUUGUCCGGAUUUACUGGGCGUAAAGGGCGUGCAGGCGGUUCGUUUAGUCUAGGGUGAAAGCUCCCGGCUCAACUGGGAGAGGUCCUUGGAUACUGGCGAACUUGAGGGAUGCAGAGGAAAGUGGAAUUCCCGGUGUAGUGGUGAUAUGCGUAGAUAUCGGGAGGAACACCAGUGGCGAAGGCGGCUUUCUGGGCAUUACCUGACGCUGAGACGCGAAAGCGUGGGGAGCGAACCGG
rnacentral:rRNA from 1 species